GAGGCGACGCGCGGCGGGAGCCGUUCCCCCGACGGCAGCCGGGCGCUCGGCCGCCGUGUCUGGGCUGAGCGCCGCGACGCCGCGCCGGAAACCCUCCUGGGUCUUGAGGCGUAUGGAACCUCAAGGUCUUUAUGACAAUGGAAACAAAAAAAUUGAUUGGCAAACCGCUUCAACCAGCAAGACCUGUUCGUCAUCUCUCUUCUCCUCCAGGACCAGUGUUCCCUUUCAACUUUCAGAAUGAAUAUCCAUGCAGCACUCAAUGCUUACAAAGUGGAGUGGGCAGAUGUAAGACGAAUGGAAUGCAAGCCUUUUCUCAAGGUCUUAAUGAGCAACAGCAACACCAGUCUCCAGUUAAAAAAGAGAGAAUUAAAUAUAGCAGAGAUUUCUUGUUGAAGCUUUCAAGUGUUUCCAUCUGCAGAAAAAAACCAGACUUUCUGCCUGAUCACCCCAUUGUACUUCAAAAACCAGAAAACAACCAAAGUUUUAAGUAGCAUUUUAAGAACAGAUGAAUUUGAAGAUAAAGAAUUAUUCAUUUUAUAUUUUGGACACCUGCAAAUGAAGUGGACCUAGUACAAUAACUAAUGGACUGUGACGAUUCAAUUUAUUUUUACUUUUGAUGGUUAGCUAUUUGGCUUCUCAUAAAAGGAGAAAGAGAUAUUUUAAAGUAUAAAGAAUUUUUCUAAUCAGUUUCAGCUUUGCAGGCAGUUCCUGCAAAAAUUGGGAAGUAACACUCGAAAGUGGGGAUGUUGUUGGCGAAGUGGGAAGACUGUAUUAUAAUUUGCAUGCUACUUGCAAUUCUUGUUUGUCACCACUUGUAAUAAUGGAAUGGAAAUGUAAGCUGUAAAGAUUCUCAAAUAUAAAGUAUUUGCUAUGAUGU
ensembl:antisense predicted gene 11837